rnacentral:rRNA from 1 species
GAUGAACGCUGGCGGCGUGCAUAACACAUACAAGUCGAACGGUGAUGAGGACUUCGGUCCUCUGAUCAGUGGCGGACGGGUGAGUAACGCGUGAGCAACCUGCCUAUGUGUGUGGAAUAACACAGGGAAACUUGUGCUAAUACCGCAUAACGCAUUUAGAUCGCAUGGUUUGAAUGCCAAAGAGAAAUUGCACAUAGAUGGGCUCGCGUCUGAUUAGAUAGUUGGUGAGGUAACGGCUCCACAAGUCGACGAUCAGUAGCCGGACUGAGAGGUUGAACGGCCACAUUGGAACUGAGAUACGGUCCAGACUCCGACGGGAGGCAGCAGUGGGGAAUAUUGGGCAAUGGGCGAAAGCCUGACCCAGCGACGCCGCGUGAGGGAAGAAGGUCUUCGGAUUGUAAACUUCUUUUGGCAGGGACGAAUAAAAUGACGGUACCCGCAGAAUAAGCCACGGCUAACUACGUGCCAGCCGCCGCCGUAAAAC